AACGUAGGUCCCGAGCGUUAUCCGGAUUUACUGGGCGUAAAGCGCGUUCAGGCGGUGGGCUAAGUCGGGCAUGAAAUCUCUCGGCUCAACCGGGAGAGGCUGUCCGAGACUGGUUCACUUGAGGGCAGUCGAGGGUGGUGGAAUUCCGGGUGUAGUGGUGAAAUGCGUAGAGAUCCGGAGGAACACCAGUGGCGAAAGCGGCCACCUAAGCUGUACCUGACGCUGACACGCGAAAGCUAGGGGAGCGAACGGG
rnacentral:rRNA from 1 species